rnacentral:rRNA from 1 species
AGCGAACGCUGGCGGCAGGCCUAACACAUGCAAGUCGAACGAACCUUUCGGGGUUAGUGUCGGACGGGUGAUUAACACGUUGGAACGUGCCUUUAGGUUCGGAAUAACUCAUGGAAACUUGUGCUAAUACCGAAUUUUCCCUUCGGGGGAAAGAUUUAUCGCCUUUAGAGCGGCCCGCGUCUGAUUAGGUAGUUGGUUGUGGUAAUGGCUCACCAAGGCGACGAUCAGUAGAUGGUCUGUGAGGAUGAUCAGCCACAUUGGGACUGAGAAACGGCGCAAACGCCGACGGGAGGCAGCAGUGGGGAAUGUUGCGGAAUGGGCGAAAGCAUGACGCAGCCAUGACGCGUGAAUGAUGAAGGUGUUAGGAUAGUAAAAUUAUUUCACAGGGGACGAUAAUGACGGUAACGGGAGAAGAAGCAACGGCUAACUUCGUG